GAGUUUGAUCCUGGCUCAGGACGAACGCUGGCGGCGCGCCUAACACAUGCAAGUCGAACGAAGUUAGAGAGAGCUUGCUUUUUCUAACUUAGUGGCGAACGGGUGAGUAACGCGUGAGGAACCUGCCUCAAAGAGGGGGACAACAGUUGGAAACGACUGCUAAUACCGCAUAAGCCCACAGCUCCGCAUGGAGCAGGGGGAAAAGGAGCAAUCCGCUUUGAGAUGGCCUCGCGUCCGAUUAGCUAGUUGGUGAGGUAACGGCCCACCAAGGCGACGAUCGGUAGCCGGACUGAGAGGUUGAUCGGCCACAUCGGGACUGAGACACGGCCCAGACUCCUACGGGAGGCAGCAGUGGGGAAUAUUGCACAAUGGGGGAAACCCUGAUGCAGCGACGCCGCGUGGAGGAAGAAGGUCUUCGGAUUGUAAACUCCUGUUGUUGGGGAAGAUAAUGACG
rnacentral:rRNA from 1 species